GAGUUUGUCUAAAUACACUCUUUUUUUGUGAGAGAGAAACUCUUUGAUAACUCUUUUACACUACUUUUACACUAUAAAAUAAAUUUAAUCCAAAAUUCACUUAAAAAAUAUUUAAAUAUAAAAAGUAAUUUGGGGAACAGGAAAUAAACCAUGCACUUUCUUGUAAUAGAGGAUGAAUGAAAUAGUUAGUUAAUUGUUAUCAGAAAAAUAUUUGAACGAACAUAUAAUAGUUUGGUCACAAAUUUUUGUCAUAUAAAAAUACAUUUUAUUUAAUUAUUUAAAAAUAUACAUUAUUUAAUCCUUUCUUAUUCUACUUUUCUUCGAUUUUAUAUGAGUGAUUAAAUUUUACGACCAAACUUUUAUAGUCACACAAGUGUUUCUCUUGUUAUCAUGCUCACUUGGAUAUUUUUUUGGGUAUUUUUCCUACUACUCUCAAGUGUGACAGUUUUUUUUUUUUUUGGUUACCAAGUGUGACAGUUUUAUAUUACUUUAAACUUUAAAAUAAGCAAAAAAAAAUAUCUAUACAAGCAGAUAUUAAAUUUUAUUUUGGAAAGAAACCAUUGAAAAAGUAUCGGUUUGACUUAAUUAACACCGCUGUAAUUUGAAAACAACGACAAAGAACCCACAGGUUUAAACCAUAAUCUACUAUUCUAUGUACCACAUGAAACUUUCUAUAUAAUUCAUUCAUCACUUGCUUCCUUUUCUAUUAUCUACAACACAAAACACACACACACACACAAAUUUCUCAAGUUUGAAAUCAAUAAUAGUUAACACAUAAUGGAAAAUAGAGAACGGAAGAUUAUGGUGGCUGUUGAUGAGAGUGAAGAGAGUAUGUAUGCACUUUCUUGGUCCAUCACCAACCUUAUUUCUGAUACCAACAACAAUAGUAAGCUUAUGUUGCUCUAUGUCAAGCCACCUUCUGCUGUCUACUCAUUGGAUUCUGCAGGAUAUAUAUUUUCCAAUGAGGCAAUUUUUUCAACAUCGGCAUUUUAACUCGGCAUAUGAUACAGAAGUGAAGCAUCACCUCAUUUGAACACAAAUAGUAAGCCAUGUUUCAGUUCACACUGCUUCAUUUCAACAUUAUGUGUAAGUAAUGGUGUGUUAAAAUGGUGCACAAGAAACAUUGCUUUUUAUAUUUAACCAUUUCUCUUGACUUUUGAUACUGGCAUAAAUGUGAAUGUAAUAAUAGAAUAGAGGAAUGAACACAAAACCUGCAUUUCACAUGUCAUGAUAGCACAAAACCUGUAUCAGCUUGUAUUACAGUUAGAGAUGAUCUUUGGCCACACUAUUCCAUAGGGGAAGGCCCUUCUUCUAUUCUGUUAUCGCCACUAUGCUCGCUACCUAACAUGACUGCCAUUAGCAUCAGCUUGCCAGCAACUGGAAAAUCUUUGUGCUGCAUUAAUAUUGUUUCAACUGAAGAGCUCAUAUCCCCCAAAGUUGAAGUCUCCAUGUUUUCUUGUCUCAAGGGCAAUACUUGAUCAAACCCUUCUUCAAAAGUUACACUUUGGAGUGCAUAACACCUGCUUGAAGCCUGGAAAAGUGCAGUAUUUUUCAAGUUCUGUAGAGUUUCCUCAUCACUCCAUCCUUCAAUCAUGUAUGCAUCAUGGAAUUUACUCCAAUCAUCCUGACUGGCAGCCUUCUUCCAGCAAUCCUCCAAAAGUUUUCUGUGGUUCUUGCGAAAUGAGGAACUGGUCCAUGCAAACACAUCAAAGGUCCACAAUGAGAGCUCUGGGUCUUCACCUUCUAAACACAAUUUAAUCAAGUCCUCUGGAUGCAGCAGCUGAUCAUCCACAAGUUGCUUAUCUUCAAUAGAAGCAAGACGUUUCAUUACUUCCUCCUGCAGGCUUAGUGUAUUAGUGAAAAACAUAUCAAAAGGAUUCUUACAAGGAUGUGAAAAGGCUUAUAUAUCAAUGCAUGGUUCUGCAAGUUCUCAUGAACCAAAGCAAAUACUGAUUUCAGAUGACAAAACUUCAACUUCCAUUAGGCAGACAAUUUAUUUGCAAAACGUGUAUUAAGAAUUAAUACCAAUUGAUAAGAACCUGACAUACUAUUAGAAAAUGAAGAGUGCUAGCAACAACACUCACUCUAACACCUGUUAAGAAACGUAGUUAGUGUCAUUUUAUUUUCUUAAAGUAAUCAAAUAAGUAAUUAUAUUUUCCAAAUUGCUCCUCUUGGGGACUUCUUCCAUGAGUAUAAA